rnacentral:lncRNA from 1 species
CGAGUAGAUCCUCCUCAGCCAUUCGAUCGUGUUUAUUAGGGAAAUAGAUCUGGGUUGUUCGAUCAAAGACCCGUGGGUCAUCCGAUUGUGCUUAUCAGAGAAAUCAAUUCGGACCAUUCAUGCGUGUCAGAGUGAAAAUGGGUCGUUGGAUCGCCCUGGCACGCAAAUUGCCUGUGUGGCUCCCGCAUGGAGCCAAUGCUAAUGUAUCCGCCACACGGCAUAUCCUGACUCGUCGUGCUGUUGACAUGACUGUCGUACAUGGAUCAUUUCUUUUAAUUUGUGAAGUGACCCUGUUUUUCCAUAUUUCUUUCAAACAUACUCUCCAUUUUUUACAGUUUGGCCCUGAUUUAUGAAAAUUAUUUCAA